CUCAGGAAAGUUCAGGGUGUUGAACGUGUGACUGAUGAAGGAGAUAGAAUGGGCAACGUCUCCUUUGAACAGAUACAGUUCUGGAUGAGGGUGACAAAGCUUUUUUAAAGCUGUCACUGGUUUGUCGUCUCUUCCGGGACAUUGUUUGGACAACAAUCAUUCCGGGCCCGGGCACAUUUCGAGUGGCUUGACAGUGUAGUGCCAUGAAAACAUCACAGUGCUGCAUGUAAAGACGAGUUUCGCAGGAUGUACGAACUGCAGUGCUGCCAGAACUGUCAAGAAACUUAUAAAGACUACAUACUGGGCUACGUUGGGCAUGGGAGACGAGGGGAGCUUGUGGCAUUUUACAGCGAAAACGAGCACCCUGGAUUCUGCAGCCAGCUUCAUGAAUGGCUGGGUGUGUGAGUGGCUGGGUGUGUGAGUGGCUGGGUGUGUGAGUGGCUGAGUGUGAGUGGCUGGGUGUUGCAUUUUUAAAUAAAGACUUCUGUAUUUGUUUGACCAAAGCAUGUAACCAAACAUUUUAAAGGCUAGUGUGCCAAUAAAUGCCAAUAAAGAUAUUGUAUUAGCUUGGACAAA